rnacentral:misc_RNA from 1 species
ACAUGGUUGAGCUUUGCCAUGAACUUCGACUGCCUUUAGUGAAAUGGAUCAUUGCCAAUCGGAGAUCAUUCUUUAAACGCUACGAAAUAGCAUACGUAUACAGGAGAGCAAUUGGUCAUUCACCCCCAAACCGGUAUCUGCAGGGGGAUUUUGAUAUUAUUGGAGGGGAAACGGCUCUAACUGAAGCAGAGAUAAUUAAGGCCACGAUGGA